CGGAACGGGUGAGUAACGCGUGAGGAACCUGCCUCAAAGAGGGGGACAACAGUUGGAAACGACUGCUAAUACCGCAUAAGCCCACGGCUCGGCAUCGAGCAGGGGGAAAAGGAGUGAUCCGCUUUGAGAUGGCCUCGCGUCCGAUUAGCUAGUUGGUGAGGUAACGGCCCACCAAGGCAACGAUCGGUAGCCGGACUGAGAGGUUGAACGGCCACAUUGGGACUGAGACACGGCCCAG
rnacentral:rRNA from 1 species